AGCCAACCAGCCAGCCAUCAAACUAGUCUGUCCGACCGCCCAUACGCCUGCCAUACACACGUUAAGUCAUCUCUCACACGGAAACCGCGUUGCAGUCGCCUUGACGCCUUGUAGGUGGCUGGGUGUAGAAGUAGUGUAAGGUGCUUCCUGAGUUUGCAAUUCUUGUUUUUUGCCUCUCUUCGUCAUUGUGCAAAUAGUAAAUCUAUUGCGAACACCAGCGUAACUGGCGCUGUCUCCUCUUCCGCCACUGCCUAGGUUGACGUUCUUAUAAACAUCUCUGCCGGCUGUUUAACUUCAACAUGUAACUCUCAUCCUCCUCGAACAAUGAUAAGGAUGGCGAUGAUGAUGUUGAUGGUGGGCGCACUACUGCUAGGAAGUUCAAUUUGAAGCUGCAAUUGUGUGAUGAUUAUAUUAGCGCACCAAGUCUGUCAUCUCGUCGUCGAACAUCCAACCAUCCGACUCUGGGGCAGCGCUGCCAUCAGCAGCAGGCUCACAUUUCGUUGGAGAAAACGAAGUUUUGCCCAACAAUUUUGUUGUGUGCGUUCAGUAGUUAACCGUGACUUGGCCAGUUAUGAAACGCGAGUGGUAUGAUACAGAUGUGUGUCUCAUUGCUAUCAUCCAUUCAUUCAUUCAUCCAUCCAUCCAUCCAUUCGUGGGAUCAACCUUCCAUCCUGCCAGCGACUGACUAAGCCAAAGUGAUUCUAGACUAACACUAACACUUCAAGGCAACCAAAAGCAAGAAAGUGUCCCCGAGUCCUUACAAUAUUUGUGGGUGUCCUCGACAAUCAUCAGGCGUUGAGUGUUUGUGUGUGUCUGUGUGUGUGUGUGUAUGCAUGUUUCACGUGAGCCCAAGUGCUGCUAGUGUGUCUUUGUGCCUUUUUGACGUCGUGCAUUAGUGACCGACCAACCAUCAACGAGUGUAAUGGGUAUGGGGUAUGGGCUUUGAUGACGCGAUACCUUAUCCUAAUGAAAGUGUAACAUUUCCAAAGUUGAAAUAAAAGAUUCGUUUUAAACACUAAGUGAUGCCACAAAUCAAAGGGCACCCACCUAUCACUAUUUAACUAUGUUUUAUAUUUUGCAACGAUUCAAAUCGACCAAUUAAUUUAAAGUAUCUCCAAAGGACUUGUUAACAAUCGAUUGCCAAAAACAAAGUGUCUGCGUGUGUAAAUGUGUGGCUCCAAUGAUUUCAUUCGUUUCGUUUUUGCUGAACAUUAAAUCGAAUUUGAGCUUGUGGCCAAGUCUAAAAACCGCAAUAUUUGAUUAAAUUGUAUGCUGGUGGCAAUGUCCGCAAAACAGUGUUUCAACUUGAUAAUUGCCCAAUCAUAUUAAAUUAAACAAAUUGGAAUUGGAAAAUAAAAAUCCAUUGAAUCAAUUUUUGCGGAUCAACAGCAAUGGACAUUCAGUUUUAUGUUUCAUAAGCCCGUUAUGCCUGCACAACUAUUAUGCUGCCAUUCGUUUGCCACUGACUGUGAAUGCUAGCAUUUUCCACAACAAGUUACCAUGUUGAAAUGUGAUUAUUAAUAAAAAAAAUAAAAUAUCUACAUAAUCCUCAACUAAUAAAGAAUGGUGGCGAAAAGUGCAAGAAUAUGG